rnacentral:misc_RNA from 1 species
AACGCACGAGACCUGCGGACCUGCGGAGGGAUCAUUAGUGAACGCCCUCACGGGCUUAUAACUAUUCCAAACCUCUGUGAACCGUGCCCUUCGGGGCUAUUUUACAAACAUGGUGUAAUGAACGUCAUAUAUCAUAACAAAACGAAACUUUUAACAAUGGAUCUCU